rnacentral:misc_RNA from 1 species
GGUUUCAAAUAACGGCCGUUAUGUUACAGGUUUUGAAAGGGGCCAUUACGCGUGAGGCCGUUAUUUGCAGGCAAAUAAGUACUUGCAGGUGUAACAGUCGUUUGUAAUGGUAAUGGCCAUUAUUGACUGUUAAAAAACAGUAAUGACCAUUAUUUUAAAGAUUCUUUUGCCAUUUUUUCCUAUGUGCAUAGAAUUUUAGUGCGCUUCUUCUUGUCUCUGCUUGCAGCACUUCAGUAGCUACUGUUUUGCUUCAAUUUCUCUCAAAUUUUCA